GCCAUGUCUUGAUAAUUAUUCAUGCCAUCUGAUCUAUAUCAUACAGUUUACCAAUAGAGGAAGUUUAUUUGACCUCCGCAAUCACAUAUCACUAACACAAAUAUGCUUUGCUUUUUGUCUCCUUAAGAAAUGUUGAGCUCAGACUUUUAGAAGACAUUUGAUAUCUUUAAUACUCGUGUGCCCUGGGUUACAGUUUACAUUGCAAGUUAUGCUAUUUGACUAUAAAACAGCCAGGGCCAAGAGGGUAUUUCCCUUUAAUCUGCUUCUCCAUCACAUGUUACUUAGAGGGAUAUUCACUAAACCAUGAAUUGGUGGAACUGCAAAUCUUAGCUCAAAAAAACUGAAUUUGAAUUUCUUUGAAUCCAUUUUUUUUUUUUUUUUGGCUAGGAAAUACAUUGAGGCCAGAGGCAAUUAGUUGUUUAAUUCACAGAUUUCAAGUCCUGGUGUUACCUCACAUUUCAUUAUCUGUCCACAGAGACUCAGAUUAGUUUGCUUUUAAAACAGUUGCUCUCCAAUUCUCUUUGUAUUUAAUUUGUGUUUUUAAAUAACCAUACAGUAAUGUCUGUCUACAGUAAUUUUAAGACACAAUGCAACUCUGUCACAAAAAAGUGAUGUAAUUUGCUUCUAUAUAGCUUACUAUUUGUGAAUCUCGUUUUUAUUUUUCAGUCAGUGCCUGGAUUUUGAUACAAUAGAUAAGAAAAACUAGAGACUACUUUUUUAAUGUAUAUUUUAGAUUAUUUUUUUUAAAUUUGACAAUGGGCAGAGCUUAAGCAUGGUUCUGUUUAAGUCCCCAAUAUAUAUAAAGGCAAGUUGCACAUAUGGCGUAUAUUCAUUAAGAUACAGGGAGCAUAAGGAAAAGAAAACAAACAAACAAAAAAAGCAACAUUGCAAACCCUCUUUAAGAAGGUACUGCCUUUAAAUAUAAAAAUUCUAUGUAAUGUACCUCCUAAAUGAUAUAUAAUUGGUGGAAUGGGCAAGGAGCAGCCAAAGUGGUAAGUGCUGGUGAUUCAAAUGUUUUACCAAUAAUAAGAACUUACCAAAAAGUGGUGUGGCAGGCUGGCACGCAAGUUAGUUUAGCACAGUGCUUUGGGUCUGCCGAGAUGAUUCUGGUAUGCUUAUUAACUGAGAGGAACAUGAGGACUGCUAUACGUAUAUGUGUUUUUCUUUUUAAUAUAUCAUAUAGCUAAAAAUGACCAUGUAUACUUGUUAUACCAAAUAACCUGCAUAUCAUGCAAUAAAUGUUAAAGGGACACUAUAGUCACCAGAACAACUUCAGCUUAUUGCAUUUGUUUUGGUGAGUAUAGUCAUUCCCUUUAGGCUUUAUGCUGUAAACACUGUAUUUUCAGAGAAAAUACAAUGUUUACACUACAGCCUAGUGAUAACUCCACUGACCACUCCUUAGAUGGCUGCUAGAGGUGCUUCCUGGGGCAGUGCUGCACAGUGAGCAGCACUGCCAUUUAGUGUCUCCACUUUCUGCAUGCAGACACUGAACUUCCCUCAUAGAGAUGCAUUGAUUCAGUUCAUCUAUAUGAUGAAGAUGUCAGCAGAUAGCUGGCAGGUCAGAGGCAGACAGGGGCAGAGCCAACAUCUGCAGACUUGAAUACAAGUAAAAUUUUACUAUAUUUAGGGAGGCAAGAGGGAGCAUGCAGGGCUAAAUGGUGGUUUUCACACUAUAACGUGGAAUAAAUGUCUGUGUUCCUGACAUGUGUUAUUUUAAUGGCUUGAUAGCACAAGUUUUGACAAGACAACUGCAACUUUUCCAAACUGUUUUAAAAUAUACUCUCAAUUUAAAAAUGCAUAAUUAAAUGCAUGCAUAUUUGGUGUAUAUGUACUAAACUGUGGUUUUAUUUAUUUUGAAUUUGGGUUGUGUCCCUUUAAAAAUACAGUUGAUGUAAAAGUUUUCAACUGUAUGUGCAUCACAGUAAGAUUCAGCAGUAACAUACUACAGUCAAUAGUCCAUUGAUUUUGUUUAUUUAUCAUUACAGUUUGGCUAUCAGCAAGUGAUAGGUGAUAUUACCAAUGCAAUUAUUAUUAUUAUUUUAUUAUUUAUAUAGCGCCAUCAGAUUCCGUAGCGCUGUACAAUGGGUGGACUAACAGACAUGUAAUUGUAACCAGACAACUGGACUUACAGGAACAGAGGGGUGGAGGGCCCUGCUCCGUGAGAUAACAUUCUAGAGGGAGUGGGGUAUAGUGACACAAAGGGUAAAAGUAGGGGUGUGAAGUAGGUUGUUAGAAAAGUAUUAAUUGAGGGCUUAGUAGGUAAUUAUUGACAGUUGCAGGAGAGGAGUCAUGGAAGGUGGGGAAUGAAAACCUGCUAACAAUUUAAUUGAUAUGCUUUCUUGAAGAAUUGAGUUUUCAAUGAUUUUUUGAAUGAGUGGAGACUGGGUGAAAUUCUUACGGAGAAGGGAAGGAGUUCCACAGAAGAGGUGCAGCCCUGGAAAAGUCUUGAAGGCGUGUGUUAGAGGUGGGAGUAUGGACAGAGGAUAUACGUAGGUCUUUGGCAGAGCGUAGGGACCUUGACGGGGCAUACUUGUGUAUUAGGAAGGAUAGGUAGGUUGGAGCAGCAAUAUGUAGGGACUUGAAAGCAAGCACCAGAAUUUUAAAUUGAGCCCUAUAUCUAACUGGAAGCCAAUGCAGGAACUGACAGAGCGGGGAGGCGUGAGAGGUGAGGGCAGACAGGAAAAUGAGCCCCGCCGCUGCAUUCAUUAUAGAUUGCAACGGUGCAAUCUGGGAACACGUAAGACCACUGAGAAGAGUAUUGCAGUAGUCCAGGCGAGAGAGAAUAAGAGCAUGGACCAGCACCUUAACCGCAUCCGGGGUUAAAUAGGGGCAAUUAGGAGUUUAACCUAAAUUGUAGCAAAACUUUGAGUUACAAAGUAAAGCCAAGUGACAUCUUAAAACUUUCCAUUCAUAGUGUUAUGUUUACAUCUGUUAAACUUGUUUGCUUUUAUAAAAUGGAAUACAAGAUUUCUAGCUAGCCUUUGUUUUUCCUUAAAGGGACACUCCUGGCACCCAAACCACUUCUGCCCAUUGGAGUGGUCUGAGUGCCAACUCUCACCACCCUUAAUCCUGCAAGUGUAAUUAUUGCAGUUUUUAUAAACUGAAAUAAUUACCUUGCUUAGUUAAGUCCUCCUCUAGUGGCUGUCUAUCAACAAUUGGGAUCUACAUCCUAUCUUCCACUAAUGGUCAUUGAGAGUUUAAUAAUGGUGAUGUAAUUCAAAGAUGGCCACCUCUAUACUGUCAGACAUAAUAUGCCAGAAAUAUUUAAAAUACUGAAAAAAAAUCAAAUGAUAAUUAAAGCUAGCUACA